rnacentral:rRNA from 1 species
UACGUAGGGUGCAGGCGUUAAUCGGAAUUACUGGGCGUAAAGCGUGCGCAGGCGGUUUCUUAAGUCAGAUGUGAAAGCCCCGGGCUUAACCUGGGAACUGCGUUUGAAACUGGGAGACUUGAGUGUGGCAGAGGGGGGUGUAAUUCCACGUGUAGCAGUGAAAUGCGUAGAUAUGUGGAGGAACACCGAUGGCGAAGGCAGCCCCCUGGGUUAACACUGACUCUCAUGCACGAAAGCGUGGGGAGCAAACAGG